rnacentral:rRNA from 1 species
AUGACCUCCUCCGCCUUCUAUGCUAGUCACCACCACUCGCUCCCGCGCGAGAUGCAGGAGAGCGCGCACGAGGCAGCCGCAGUUCGGCCUCUCCAUCUUCUCCGACCGCUGCAAACCAUGGUGGAAGGUGGGCGGACGAGCUCCUCUCCAUCUUCUCCGCCCGCUGCGGGGAGAGAAGGUUACGGGCAGGUCGAGAUGGAGCAACGCCGGUCGCCUCCGGAUGCGGCGGCUCUAGCGAGAUGGGAAGAGUGGAGGGAGGCGGCAGCUGUGCUGGGAGUAGAGAGCGCCGAGCGGGGAAGGAGGGACGCGGGGACCGCUCCGACCCGGCCGCCCUCCAUAGGGUCGCCGCCGAGGCGCGUGGAUGGAGGAGGAGACGAGGACGCGGCUAGGGUUCGCGGGGAAGAUGCGGUCUGCGCGGUCUCGCUCCUGCCCGCGCUGCCUGCCUUUUUGGCCCGCUGGGAAGACUAA